rnacentral:rRNA from 1 species
AGAAGUUGUAUUUAGAUACUUCGGUUGAAAAAUAUAAUGGAUAGCGGCGGACGGGUGAGUAACGCGUAGGUAACCUGCCCUAUACAGAGGGAUAGCCACUGGAAACGGUGAUUAAUACCUCAUGAUACUUAAGAAACACAUGUUUUUUAGGUCAAAGAUUUAUCGGUAUGGGAUGGACCUGCGUCUGAUUAGUUAGUUGGUGAGGUAACGGCUCACCAAGGCAACGAUCAGUAGCCGACCUGAGAGGGUGAUCGGCCACAUUGGAACUGAGACACGGUCCAAACUCCUGCGGGAGGCAGCAGUGGGGAAUAUUGCACAAUGGAGGAAACUCUGAUGCAGCAACGCCGCGUGAAUGACGAAGGCCCUUGGGUCGUAAAAUUCUGUUCUGAGGGAAGAAGAAAGUGACGGUACCUCAGGAGAAAGCCCCGGCUAACUACGUGCCAGCAGCCGCGGUAAUACGUAGGGGGCAAGCGUUGUCCGGAAUUAUUGGGCGUAAAGAGUAUGUAGGCGGUCAUAUAAGCGUAAGGUGAAAGGCAUAGGCUCAACCAAUGUCAGCCUUAGGAACUGUAUGACUUGAGUGCAGGAGAGGAAAGCGGAAUUCCUAGUGUAGCGGUGAAAUGCGUAGAUAUUAGGAGGAACACCGGUGGCGAAGGCGGCUUUCUGGACUGUAACUGACGCUGAGAUACGAAAGCGUGGGUAGCAAACAGGAUUAGAUACCCUGGUAGUCCACGCCGUAAACGAUGAGCACUAGGUGUCGGGAUCGUAGAUUUCGGUGCCGCAGUUAACGCAAUAAGUGCUCCGCCUGGGGAGUACGCUCGCAAGAGUAAACUCAAAGGAAUUGACGGGGACCCGCACAAGC